UGAUAUCAUAGAGCAACCCGACACUGAAAGGAUCUGGAGAUUGAGUUGGUUUGAAUGAGCCAUGACCACAAGCCCAGAAUCUGAGAUGGCACAAUUUGAGACAUCAAGUUCACUGAGCAACAAGCAGUUCUCUGCAAUUGUGGCCAAACUAGCAUCAGAAAUUUUCCCACAUCCUUCAAGAUUCAGCAAUUCAAGAGUCCAACCAUGCUGCUGAGUCAUUGCCGAAACCACUUUGUCAGACAAAUUCACACAGCCACUAAAAUUAACCUUUACCAAACCAGCCUCACAGUUCUCAAGAAAUGGAAUAAACCCAGCAUCAGUUACACCCUGAAGUCCACUCAAUUCCAGAUGCUGCAACUGAGGACACAACUUCCCCAAAAGAGCCAAGCUACCAUCACCAAAACCUGGGCAGUUCCGGAUGCACAAUGAACGAAGGGAUUUGCAAGGAGAUGACCAAGUUAAUUCCAUAUUUAGAUCCCUAACUCCCAAGCAGUUCAUCGCAGCAAGAGCCUUCAAUUUUGCACCACAGUUCAAAAGGGAACCAAAAAACCCAAGUUGAGUAAUCCUAUGGCACUCCUCCAACUGCAGGCUCUCCAGUGACUCUGCAGCUUUUACAAACGAGACCAGUCCAUUGUCAGAUAAGAAUACACAUUUGCGGAGGCAGAACUGCCUUAAAUUUGGGCAACCCUUCCCCAUAGCUGCAAGCCCAGUAUCUGUUACUCCUCGGCAUGAUGUAACUGUAAAGGACUUCAACUUCUGUAAGCCAUGACCAUUACCCAAGACCCAAAAGCCCCUUUCACUCACAUUUGGCAGGCUGGUGAGGACAAGAUCAGUAACUGCCUUACCAUAGUGUCCAACCACAGCUAGAGACACAUCAGUAAUGUUCAAAGCCUGGAGCUUUAUCUUUGAAAGAGCAUGUGUAGAAGAUACCAGGCUUGCAAUUCCUUGAUCCCCAACAACUGGGCAGU
rnacentral:misc_RNA from 1 species